ACAUUUAGAAAAUCUUUAACUGCAGCUCGACAGUUGGAAGGAUGAACACAGGAAUAGACCGACCGCAUGAUCCUGCAUAUUAUUCCAGCGUCUUGUCCAGAUGUGAGUAAGCAGAAGGCCAGGUGGCCGGAAAAAUCAAAAGAAGAUUUACGGAGAAAAAUUAACAGAAAAACAGAGACAAGAUUUGUAGAUUUGUUUGCUGGGGCUUGGAAACAACCUCAGAAACUAUCUAAUGGACGGGCUACUUUCAAUCAGAGAAAAUAUGGCUGCCCAAAUAGUGUAUGAGAGUCUAAAAAGACAUGUCAAACCAAGUAACCAGAGAGCAAAAUAAUUGGACCGCAGUGACACGCAGUGAGUCAAACUUUGAAAGAAUGUACCGAGAGCAAAAAAAAAGGCUAUAGCUGAACAAAAACUGCCAUUUUUUAAGAAGGAGAAAGCUGAAGUUGAAGUGCAAGAGAAGAAUAAUUUCACAUCUAACACAUUUUGGAAGAACAUUUUUUACAUGGUUAAAAGCCUUUGGCUGUAAAUACGGAGUGCUGACUACAGAGUGGCCUGGUAUUGUUGUGCAGCGACUAAAAGAGACUAACCGAGAGAGAAUGACAAGAGGACGAAGGAAACGAUUUAGAAGUGCCUUGUGAACAUUUCAACAAUACCAAGACCAAGUCUCCUUCUCUCUAAAUUUGUGUACAAGUAAGUAUGGUGCUAGUAUAGAAACAUCCAGAAAAGAUCAGUGUCCUUGGAAGCAGUUUUCAUUUUCUUUUCUAAAUGUGAUGUUUUACUGUGGGUCAGUUUGAUCCUCUGUGAAACACCAUUUUAGUUCUUCGUACUUAUUCCCAACAGGAAAAGCAUAAUAGGUCCCCUUUAAAGGAAAACUACAGAUUAACUUAAUUAAACUUGGAAGGACCAAAAACCUAAAGUUAAAAGCAUUAAACAUUUUUCCCGGACACAAAGUUAUGUGUGUUUAAACAAAAACACUGAAUCUGGUAUCCUGUGGUGUCGUUUUUACUUUGGCUUUACUCACAAACGGAGCACAUGUGACUCUUGGCCCUCCGGGGCAUUCAUACACGAUGUUUCCCUUGAUAGAAAUUUUUAAUGUUCACAAAGCUAUGAAAUGUCAGAAGGUAGUAGAGGUGAAAACACUUCUCUCUGAUCUGGUGUUAAAUACAACCAACGACUGACUCCCUGCCUCCCUGCCUGACUCACAGGCAGUCUGUCUGUUAUUCGUAUCUGUGUUGUUCUGCUCUAUUCUAAAAGAAACUGAAUGAUUUGUCAUUGUGUGUGUUUUAUAAUAAGGUAUCCUUUUUUUAUUUGAGUGCAAUGGGACCAUGUAGAGACUAUGUACGAUAGUAGCAUUGAGCAGGAUAAUCGAAAUCUGGAGACAUAUUUAUAGAUAAAUUGUGAGGGACACGCAGGUGCGUCAAUAUACUGUGUUUAACAUUUAAUUAUAAUGAAACAAGGUAGUAGAUUUAAUCAAUAUUUUGGGACUACAGCUAUAGGGUGUUUAAAAACUUUUAAUAUCCCCUAUAUUGUAAAGGACAAUUAAAUUAUAUAAAAAAAAUUAAAGGAACCUAAUUAAAAAGGGAGGAGACGAGCUUAAGACAUAGAUCUCUGCCUGGUUCCACUUUUUGGAUGGAUAGCAACUCCUAAGAUUUGUUAGUAUUAUUAUCUAUGGUGCUUGAGAUACUUAUGAUCUAAAUGUUUGUACAAAUAUAAAUAUACGAAAGAGUCCAUUUCCCCCUGAAACACAAAACAACGCCUUUCAAAUGCUUCUUCUACAUCACUGUCAUCGUGUCUGUUGUUGUCGAGCAGAGAGCAUUAUGGGAGAGCGACAUGAGAGCAGUGGAAAUGAUGUCACCGUAUUGGUGUAAUUUGUCAAAAGCGUUGUAGUGCUGAUUUUUUCCUCCACUAAGAGCAAAAAACCAGAACGUGCUGUCGCUGAAACAGAAAAUACAGUUAAUUCAGUGAAGUUUUUAUCUUCACGUGGAUCUGAAUCAGCUAAUGAUUUCAUGUAGUGCAUACUGGCGGGGAUAGCCAAGAGAUAAUCUAGUGAGAAAUUACCCCUGAGAGCAAGACGCUUUUGACAAACUUGAGAGGCUUUUUUUGUUUUUUAAGAGCAUCUCUGAUCAUUUCCUGUUUUUAUCCCCGUGUUCAUUGUGCAAGUCAUGAAUGAAAGUUUAUUUAUUUGAGUUGCUACUUAAUGUUCUUAUUUACGUACACCUCAUGAUCUUACAAAGUUACUAUGCAUUGAUGAAAAAGAAAAAUAACUGUACAUACUUUGCUGAGCCCAUGUCAUAUAUAAAUAUAUAUACUGUGCACAUAGCAUAUAUGCCAUCAUUUUUAUUUUAGAUAUUUUUUUUGUUGUUGGUUUCAUUUGCUCCUGUUGUUCCUCUUGAGGAUUUCAAUGGGUUUGGUUCCCCAAACAUUCACAUGCAGAACAGGGAUGCUAGUUGAUUACAUGCAAAUCAGAAGCCUUCCAGUAUGAAGGCAGCUGUGUUGCUUUAAGAGAAAUGUCUGUGUCUUAUGAACUGCAGCCCUGUGUAAUUAGCAGCGAGUGUUUUGGGAAAUCUAACCUCUAAAUGAGCUAAUGGCUUGUAUUGAACUAUCCUUUUUAAGAUGCUAUGUGGGAGGUUUCUUCCUUGAUAUGUUACUGCCAAAUCUAAUGGGAUAUCCCUUUAUUAUUGUAGUAAUAAUCAAAAAUUGCUAGAAACUAUUACAGCUAAAAGAAUAGCGGGGUGUUUUAAAUCAAGUUAUUCACAGAUUUCCAUCUGCAAAGUCACUCUGCACAACAUAAGCAUCACAUGAUCUAUGGAAUAAACUGACAAAUAUGCUGUGCUGGUGCAUAUUUUGUAGACACAUUUAAGAAUUAUAAUGUGCUAUCUGUAAAUCUCAUACAAGGCAUCUUAGGGAGCAUUGUGUGUUAAAGUCCGGGUCAGACCACAUUUACCAAAAACAGAUGUUAUCAUUAGCAUUAGGAGUCAACUUCUGCUUUGCUCAGUUGUAAGACACAGGGUCAGUUGUUUGAAGAUCUCUGGAUAACUAAAAAUAAAAAAAUCACUUUUCUGUUCCAGUCUCUUGAUAAAAAUGCCAGUUGUGAGACAUAUUCAUGCUAAAUACCCUCAGUAAUUCUAUUUAAAACAACACAUUAUCAGUGUAAAUGUGGAACAAAUGGUGCACAGGAGUCUCGCUGUGCUCAUAUUGUCCACUGCAGAUUUACCGUUUUUGUGAAAUCUGGUCUGACAUAUGGUAAAGACGGAAGAAAAAGAUGGAGG
ensembl:lncRNA